rnacentral:tRNA from 1 species
UAGUGUAAUAGAGAACACGAAAGUUUCUGAAGCUUAAGAUGUAGGUUUAAAUCCUGU